AAAUUACAGGCCUCUCUCAUCUUUUUAAGUAGGAGAACUUGCACAAUUGGUGGCUGACUAAAUUCUUUUUUGCCCCACUGUAUGUAUGAUGUACAACGCUCACAACAUGGCGUCAUCGGGGAUGUAUAUUGCCAUGGUGAGCACCACUGUAGAGACCAGUAACCCAGAGAAGUAAGUGCAGCCUGGGAUGGAACUGCUGGAGCCCAUUCAUCAGAGAUUUGUUUCUGUCAGCAACAUGAUGGUCCCCAUUGCUGAUGGAAGGAAAAGUCAGAUCUUUGUGUCUCGCUCCUAUGACGCCACGACACACUUUGAGACUGAGUGUGAGGAUAUCAGGGAUUUCCAUCGCCGCAACACAGGAUGAGAAUUCAUCUUUGGUGACUUGUGCAGAGACUGUGAUGAUGGUGACGUGAUGAGGACAAAAGGACGUUCCUCCCAUUUUGAACAUUGGUUCGAUUCCCACUUGGGUCUCCUAUACAAAAAUGUAUGCACACGCUUGGACAAAGCAUCUGCUAAAUGGCAAAUAUUACAAUAAUAUUAUAUUGCGGUUGUCUGUCAUGUCUUUGUUUUUGUGUUUUUUAAGCAGCCCUUAGAUUGACCUCUUGUAUCUCCCAGAAUUCCCUGCUUGACAGCUACUGUAUGUCAUUGUAAAUGUUCCAUUUAUCAUGUGGUAGAUACUCUUCUACUCUCUUUGAUGGUAUCGAGACUGGAGAGUGGUACGCUAAAUAACUUCCUGUUGAUUUAAUACCCUGUCUAAUAAACACCACACUUAAUUUGACUGUGGCCUGUGCAUCAUUAUAGAGUAUAGAGACAAAGUGGAGUCGCAAUUCAACAGCUCAGACACAAGGCGAAUGUGGCAGGAUCUACAGACAAUCACGGACUACAAAGGGAAAACCAGCCACUUUGUGGACACCGACGUCUUGCUUCCGGACAAGCUAAACACGUUCUUCACCCGCUUUGAGGAUAACACAGUACCACCAAUGCAGCCCGCUACCAAGGACUGUGGGCUCUCCUCCGUGGCUGACCGUGGCCGACAUUUAAGCGUGUUAACCCUCGCAAGGCUGCCGGCCCAGACGGCAUCACUAGCUGCGUCCUCAGAGCAUGCGCAGACCAGCUGGCUGGAGUGUUUACGGACAUAUUCGAUCUCUCCCUAUACCAGGCUGCUGUCCCCACUCGCUUUAAGAUGUCCACCAUUGUUCCUGUACGCAAGAAAGCAAAGGUAACUGAACUAAAUAACUAUCGCCCAGUAGCACUCACUUCUGUCAUCAUGAAGUGCUUUGAGAGGCUAGUUAAGGAUCAUAUCACCUCUACCUUACCUGUCACCCUAAACCCACUUCAAUUUGCUUACCGCCCCAAUAUAUCUACAGAUGAUGCAAUCGCCAUCGCACUGCACACUGCCCUAUCCCAUCUGGACAAGAGGAAUACCUAUGUAAGAUUGUUGUUCAUUGACUAUAGCUCAGCCUUCAACACCAUAGUACCCUCCAAGCUCAUCAUUAAGCUCGGGGCCCUGGGUCUGAACCCUGCCCUGUGCAACUGGGUCCUGGACUUCCACUUCGCUGAUCCUCAACACAGGGGCCCCACAAGGGUGCGUGCUCAGCCCCCUCCUGUACUCCAUGUUCACUCAUGACUGCACAGCCAUGCACGCCUCCAACUCAAUCAUCAAGUUUGCAGAUGACACAACAGUAGUAGGCCUGAUUAUCAACAAUGACAGGACAGCCUGCAGAGAGGAGGUGAGGGCCCUGGGAGUGUGGUGCCAGGAAAAUAACCUCUCACUCAAUGUUGGCAAAACAAUGGAGUUGAUAGUGGACUGAUCAUCGACAGGAUCACAGUGGAGCAGGUGGAAAGCUUCAAGUUCCUCAGCGCACACAUCACUGACGAUCUGAAAUGGUCCACCCACACAGACAGUGUGGUGAAGAAGGCGCAACAGCACCUCUUCAACCUCAGGAGGCUGAAGAAAUUUGUAUUGGCACCUAAAACCCUCACAAACUUUUACAGAUGCGCAAUUGAGAGCAUCCUGUUGGGCUGUAUCACUGCCUGGUACGGCAACUGCACCGCCCACAACUGCAGGGCUCUCCAGAGGGUGGUGCGGUCUGCCCAAUGCAUCACCGGGGGCAAACUACCUGCUCUCAAUGACACCUACAUCACCCAAUGUCACAGGAAGGCCAAAAAUAUCAUCAAGGACAACAACCACCCAAGCCACAGCCUGUUCACCCUGCUAUCAUCCAGAAGGCGAGGUCAGUACAAGUGCAUCAAAGCUGGGACCGAGAGACUGAAAAACAGCUUCUAUCUCAAGGCCAUCAGACUGUUAAAUAGCAUUCACUAGGCGGCUUCCACCCGGAUAUUUAACCCUGCACCUUACAGGCUGCUUCCCCAUAUACAUAGACUUGAAAUCAUUGGUCACUUAAUAAUGGAACACUAUUCACUUUAAUGUUUACAUAUUUUUGCUCUACUCAUCUCAUAUGUAUAUACUGUAUUUUAUUCUACUGCAUUUUAGUCUAAUCCACUCCAACAUUGCUCUUCUUAAUUUGUAUAUAUUUCUUAAUUCCAUUCUUUUACUUUUAGGUUGUGUGUAUUGUUGUGAAUUGUUAGAUAUUACUGCACUGUUGGAGCUAGAAACGCACGCAUUUCGCAACACCAGCAAUAACAUCUGCUUAACAUGUGUUUGUGACAAAUAAUAUUUGAUUUGAUUUAUAUUCUUCCGAGUUUAGUGUAUUAGGAGUAUGUGAUUGCGUGUGAAUGAAUGGUUGAAUGAUUGAAUGAAUGGCCAUGUGUUUGUGUGGUGAAGCAAAACUAGAAUGAUGAUUAGUUGAUACACGUAUCCUGCAGAUUAUCUCUGAGAAGAACAAAGCCAUGGAAUUGCGUUACAUAUUGCAUUAUGUUAUAUUUUGAGACCGAUAGAGAAACGGGUGGUGCGGAGAGGUAAGGGUAGAAGAUAGACAAUGAGAUUAGAGGUUUACUAAUCCAAAUGAAGGACAGUCACCUUGGGUAUAUCCC